CAUCACGCGUGAAAGCCUUUCCCUUUCCCCCCAAUUCUUCCCCCAAAUCCCCUAAAAUUUUCAAAAUCUCCCACACUGCUGCUGUGUCUCCCCCUCCCACUUUCCUCCUUCGCCCACCGCCAACCACUUCCUCACCGAACGCACCGGCGACGCCCACCCACGGCACCAGCUCGAAAUCCGGCGACGCCCAUCGACACAGGCCACGCCCACAGCCCAAAAAUCGAUCGGCCAAACGCCACCCACGGCCCCAGCUCAGAGUCUCACUGACCAUACGUCGUGUACCGGGAUAGCUGAAUUCGGGCGUUCUGAUUUUUCAUUUUCCUCCCAUUUCCCAAUUCUCCACCGUCCCCCUCCCCCACCGACCGAGCACCGCCCACCAAGACAAAGGGCCUACCGACCGAGCGCCGCCCACCAAGACGAACGGCCUUCCGACCGGCCAACCGACACCGUCCCUCUCCCCUCUCUCUCUACUGCAUAUUGUAGUAUGCUCUGCUGAUAGACAGAAGUACUGCUCGGUGCUUGCCGAAUAGCACCAUUGAGUUUUUUUAAUUUUUAGUAAAAAAAAAUUUAGAGAAGGUAUGCAAGAUACUCCAAGGAACAAGGGAACAUCUGCGGCCUCUUGAAAUUGAAAUAUGCUUAGUGUCUCGCUUUCGUCUCCCUCCAAACUCUCAUUACCUUCCCUCAAACCCUCAAACCCUUCGCGCCAAAACCUUCCAUCAUCAUUAUCAUCCACCCCGAACCAAAACUUUGAACUCUUUAACCAUCGUCCGAUCCACCACCUCAAUGUGGGUCAACUCCACAAAGCAAUGGCCACCCUUGAUGGCAUGGCCCAAAAGGGUACCCACCCAGACCUCACCACCUACUCCCUUCUCCUCAAGUCCUGCAUCAGGUCCCGGAAUUUCCAACUGGGGAAACUCGUUCACACCCGCUUGACUUUGUCCCAACUCGAGCCCAACUCGGUCAUUCUCAAUUCUCUCAUCAGCUUGUACUCAAAGUGUGGGGAUUGGGCUAAAGCAAAGGCCAUAUUUCAUAGCAUGGGAGAUAAGAGAGACUUGGUUUCUUGGAGUGCAAUGGUUUCUUGUUUUGCAAAUAAUGAUAUGGAAUUUGAAGCCAUUGGGACAUUCCUUGAAAUGCUUGAGAAUGGUUUUUACCCAAAUGAAUAUUGCUUCGCGGCUGUGAUUCGAGCAUGUUCGAAUGCGCACAAUAUCUCGAUCGGGAAGAUGAUUUUUGGGUUUGUCAUAAAGAGUGGAUAUUUUGAGUCCGAUUUGUGUGUUGGGUGUGCAUUGAUUGAUAUGCUUGUAAAGGGUAGUGGUGAUGUGGAUUUAGCUUAUAAGGUGUUUGAGAAAAUGCCUGAGAAAAAUGCGGUUACUUGGACUUUGAUGAUAACUAGGUUUAUGCAAUUGGGGUACUCAAGAGAGGCCAUACAUUUGUUCUUGGAUAUGGUUUUGAGUGGAAAUGUUCCGGAUCGGUUUACACUAAGUGGAGUUUUAUCGGCUUGUGCGGAGUUAAAAUUGUUGUCGCUUGGGCAGCAAUUGCAUUCUUGGGUUAUCCAGGUGGGAUUGGCUUUAGAUGUUUGUAUUGGUUGUUGUUUGGUGGACAUGUAUGCAAAGUGUUCAUCAAAUGGAUCGUUGGAUGAUUCAAGGAAAAUUUUCAUUCGGAUGAUAAAUCAUAAUGUCAUGUCUUGGACAGCAAUUAUCACAGGAUAUGUGCAAAGUGGAGGGCUUGAUAUGGAAGCUGUCGAACUUUUUUGCGAAAUGAUCAAGGCUGAUUUUACGCCGAAUCAUUUCACCUUUUCUAGUGUCCUUAAGGCAUGUGCAAAUCUUUCUGAUCCACGCAUGGGUGAGCAAGUUUAUGCCCAGGCAGUGAAACUAGGUCUUGCAUCGGUUAAUUGUGUGGGAAAUUCUCUUAUUAGCAUGUAUGCGCGGUCUGGCAUGAUGGAAGAUGCCCGUAAAGCUUUUGAUAUGCUGUUUGAGAAGAAUUUGAUUUCUUACAAUACGGUUGUUGAUGGUUAUGCCAAAAAUCUAAAUUCUGAAAAAGCCUUUCAACUUUUUCAUGAGAUCGAGGAUGCAGGAAUUGGGGCUAGUGCUUUCACAUAUGCAAGUCUGCUGAGUGGAGCUGCAAGUAUUGGUGCAAUUGGUAAGGGCGAGCAAAUUCAUGCCAGUGUACUGAAAUCAGGAUUUGAGUCAAACCAAUGCAUUUCUAAUGCAUUGAUCUCUAUGUAUUCUAGGUGUGGAAACAUAGAAUCUGCUCUUCAAGUUUUUAAUGAUAUGGGAGAUCGGAAUGUUAUUUCUUGGACUUCUAUGAUCACAGGUUUCGCAAAACAUGGAUUUGCCUCUAGAGCUGUGGAGUUUUUCCACAAAAUGCUUGAGGUUGGUGUAAGACCGAAUGAGAUCACCUAUAUUGCUGUCUUAUCAGCUUGCAGCCAUGUGGGGCUGAUUUCUGAGGGUUGGAAACACUUCACUGCGAUGUACAAAGAACAUGACAUUGUUCCGAGAAUGGAGCAUUAUGCAUGUAUGGUUGAUUUGUUGGGCAGAUCAGGAUCCCUUCUAGAAGCCCUUGAAUUUGUGAACUCAAUGCCUUUCAAGGCUGAUGCGCUAGUCUGGCGUACAUUUCUUUCUGCUUGUCGAGUUCAUGGAAAUAAAGAACUUGGGAAACAUGCUGCUAAGAUGAUUCUUGAGCAAGACCCACAUGAUCCAGCGGCAUAUAUCUUACUAUCGAACUUGUAUGCUUCCUCAGGUCAAUGGGAGGAUGUUGCAAUAAUUAGAAAAAAAUUGAAAGAGAGAAACUUGAUCAAAGAGGCAGGUUGUAGCUGGAUAGAGGUUGAAAAUACAGUGCACAAGUUCCAUGUUGGGGACACUUCACACUCCCUAGCAAGAGAGAUUUAUGAUGAGCUGAACCAUUUGGCUUUGAAAAUAAAGGAAUUGGGCUAUGUACCGGAUACAGAAUUUGUUCUUCAUGAUGUGGAGGAUAAACUGAAGGAGCAAUAUUUGUUUCAACACAGUGAGAAAAUAGCUGUGGCGUUUGGUCUUAUAAGCAUAUCCAAAUCAAAACCCAUCAGGGUAUUUAAGAAUCUUAGAGUUUGCGGAGACUGUCAUGCUGCAAUCAAAUUUAUCUCGAUUGCCACGAGUAGGGAAAUAGUGGUAAGAGACUCUAACCGUUUUCACCACUUCAAAGAUGGGACAUGUUCAUGCAAUGAUUACUGGUGAUUUUGUUAAGUUGGAGUAAGAAUAGUCAAAUUCUCUCUAUGACAGUUCUGCGCUAAUCGGAGAGCUUAUAUGAGCUUCUUUUCUAGGCUCAUAACUUCCUAAUUUGUUGGUUGAUUGAUUAUUGAUUUUCUGGUCACUUCCCAUCAAAACUCUUCAAAAGCUUGUUCUUAGGGUGGAUGAACAGUGGCCUACAGAGCCUACAAAUGGAAACGAUUCUGGACGAAUGAGUGCCAAGUAUAAUUAAUCUUAAGUUGGCAUGUAUAUUUGUCAUCUCAUUCUUUAACCUUUGUGUUGUUCUGCUAGCUGUAACCUGUAUAAAUCAUACUUGUACCUUCUUUGUGUAAUCUGUAUACCUGUAAACUUCAUAUUUGCGACUACUUGUACAACUGCAAAUUUGGACCCUCAUUUGAUCAGUUUAUUUACUACCACUAUGUGCAGUUUCUCCCACAGCUCAUAUUGCCUAUUCUUCAAUGUUCUAGAAGACUUCUUCACUAUUAUCCUUUACUUUCCCCUCUUGUAUAGACCUGGUAAUGGUUGCAUUUUCUGGUUUGAGAAGAAUGUUCAUGAAUAAAAAAUGUGUUAAUGUUUUAGCAUUUCAAUGUUUGGGGUGCUGUGAGAUGCACUUGUGUCAGUAGGAUGUUGUAGGAGUGAUGAUAGGCAGGGGACGUUUAACCAUCCCCUGCCCGGCCCUUUCCUAUGUGGCAGUCCCAUUUUAUUAAAAAAAAUAGAAAAUGCAUUACGUUUAAACCAAAAUCGCGAGCUUCCUGUUUUCAUUUCCCCCCAUUUUUCGAUUUGGUCUUUCCCCCCAAAUUUUUCGCCAAUCACCGUUUUCGCCUCCCCCACCGUACGGCCUUUCCCUUUCUGUCAACAGAGCUCCGGCCACCAAGACCCGAGUGACCGCCACCCAUCAGAGCAGAAACUUCAUUUAUCUUUUUUGUCAACGGAGUGCCGGCUUGCAAACCCAUUUCCCUUUUCGGUUGACGGAGUGCCGGCCACCAAGACCCACCGAUCGGCACCCAUCGGAGCACCCCCCUCUCUCUCGCCGUUUUACUGUUGGAAAGAUACCACAAAAAGGCCGUAAGUGAAAGGAGAAGGAUGUAGAAAUUCAUGCAUUGCUACCUUCUUGAUCUUAGUGUUUGUGCUGUUCCCAUUGAGGUUAGAACAUUUGGGUUGAUGCUUUCCCUAUAGAAUGACUUUUUAACUUCCUUUAAGAUAACUAGGUCUUAUGUGAAAUGAGAAGGAUGUUGUCCUCUUUGAAGCAGAACCUCUAAGAAAGAUAUUUUCUCUUUUUUUGCUUUUUAACUCGAGUUUUUAAUGUAGUGGCAACAUACACUUGCAAUAUAACAGUAAAAGAAUUUGUGUAAAAUGGUAAAGUGCAAGGUUUAGAUCUGUAAUAGGUUACAAAAAAUACUUCCAAUGCACUGAACUUUAUCUUUUCCUCUUUUGUUGAAAGGGUAAGACCCGUGUCAAUUACACACAGAGACCACUAUGUCAAUAUUGCACGGAGAAGAGCACUGGAAGCAAAUGAGGUGGCAUCAAAGCAUAGGAAAUCUGACCAAGUGGAUGGCAAACCCCUAAAGCAAAUCAAUGGUUACACAUCCGGUGAAGAGAAACAAAGCUCAGCUUUAUCGAAUAAUUGUCAAGGUGGCUUCUUUGCUUAUCAGUUUGAAAAUCUUGCAAACUUCCGAGCGCACUAUGAGGGUACCGGGCCUGAGAUUUUGGAACAGGCUGGUGGUAAUUUAGAUGCAUUUGUAGCGGCUACAGGCACAUGAGGGACUGGCUGGUGUUUCCAAGUUUCUCCGUGUUAAAUUAUUCAUUAAUUCCCUUAUUUCAUCUAUUCAGCAGGAAAAAGUUCCAAACAUCAAGUCCUUCCUGGUAGAUCCUCCUGGUUCUGGUUUGUUCAAUAAGGUAACAAGAGGGGUGAUGUACACACGAAAGAGGAGGCUGAAGGGCGCAGAUUAAAGAAUCCGUUUGGAGCAAGUGGGAGCAGAUUCUGUCUCAGCAUGGAUUGGAGACCCAAGGCAACAGGAUUAGAGUUUUUGGGCAUCAAAUGAGUUUUUGGUGCUGCUGUGUUGAAAUCUAAAAGCUGUUUGUAAUUUUGUGAACAUAUAUGUUAGUGAAUCUUGGAUCUGAGUGAAGCUGGGGAAUAUAGAGAACAAAAGUGAUGGGGUUGCUGACUUGGAGAAUAUACAGAACAAAAGCUGCAGUUUUUUUUUGUUUAUCUUGAAGCCCUUUUGGCUUACUGGUUGUUGGCAGUGGAUGUAGAGGCUGUAACAGUUUUUGUUUUGUUGCAUGUUUAUAUCUCAGAAAUAGUUGAUUUGCAUCGGCUUUCAUGUACACAUCUUUUACAUGUAAUUGAAUGCAAAUGCACAUAGUGAUGUGCUUGGAGA